UACAGAGGUCUCAAGCGUUGUUCGGAUUCAUUGGGCGUAAAGGGUGCGUAGGUGGCGAGGCAAGUCGGAUGUGAAAUCCCGGGGCUCAACCCCGGAACUGCAUUCGAUACUGCUUUGCUAGAGUACUGGAGAGGAGAUUGGAAUUUACGGUGUAGCAGUGAAAUGCGUAGAUAUCGUAAGGAAGACCAGUGGCGAAGGCGGAUCUCUGGACAGUUACUGACACUGAGGCACGAAGGCCAGGGGAGCAAACGGG
rnacentral:rRNA from 1 species